rnacentral:rRNA from 1 species
GACGAACGCUGGCGGCGUGCUUAACACAUGCAAGUCGAACGGAAAGGCCCUGCUUUUGUGGGGUGCUCGAGUGGCGAACGGGUGAGUAACACGUGAGUAACCUGCCCUUGACUUUGGGAUAACUUCAGGAAACUGGGGCUAAUACCGGAUAGGAGCUCCUGCUGCAUGGUGGGGGUUGGAAAGUUUCGGCGGUUGGGGAUGGACUCGCGGCUUAUCAGCUUGUUGGUGGGGUAGUGGCUUACCAAGGCUUUGACGGGUAGCCGGCCUGAGAGGGUGACCGGCGACAUGGGGACUGAGAUACGGCCCAGACUCCUCCGGGAGGCAGCAGGGGGGAAGGUGGCACGAUGGGCGGAGGCCUGAUGCAGCAACGCCGCGUGCGGGAGGACGGCCUUCGGGUUGUAAACAGCGUUCGCCUGUGACGAAGCGUGAGUGACGGGAAGGGGGAAAGAAGCACCGGCUAACUACGUG